UCCUCACAAACAGUCACAUCUGCUGAGCUUUCCCAAGAGGUCUCAGUGGACAGAGAAGAAUGUAAAGUUUUAAUUUGCUAAUCAUCGCACUGGGGAGUGCUGUGGGGGGAGAUGCUAAUUGUCUGCAGACAUCUGUAAUGACCCUUGUACAAAACCGAGGAAAACUAAAUCAGAGCUUUGACAAGGGCAGGAGAGCGGAAACAGAAGCCCUAAUUGUGGCCAUGUGAAGUGCACUUGCCCUCUUCUACCCUUUGUUGGUAGAACUGCACAAUACUUUAUAGAGUAACUUUUAAGGACAGGACCAAAAAAUGACUUUUUCCAUCUCUGGGGAUAAAUGGCCAGGCUAGAUCUGUGAAAUAUUUGAGGAAGGUCCGACAUUAUGGUGCAAAUGGAGCAGACAAAAGGGUGUGGGGAGAGCUUUUGCCAGUUGAAUUUGGCUAACCUGCAGAAAGCCUAUUGUCAAGCCGCCAUGCUUCAGUGAGCUGUCUUCCCUCUUUAUGGUUAAGUGAACCCGAAAACAGUGGCAAAGAAAUAUGCACUGAGUCAUAUAUUCUACAAAAUAGACUGUACUCUCCUCUAACCAAAAUUACGAACGACAGUUUAAUUCUUGGAUUUUUCCACAUUUUUCGUAGCUAAGGUUCCUAUUUGCUUUCUUUGAAUCUCUAUCAGUACUAGCAGCUCUCCCCAUGGGGAAAACUCUGCGGGACCCUGCCACUGUAGCCCUGGCACUGUUAAGAGGAGUCAAAGAGACUUCUCAGAAGACAGCCAAAUCAUUACAAGAGGAAGGAAGAUCCUGCCCAUAUGGGUAAAUAUCUUAUCUAGUGAAACACAGAAACAACAAAGAGAGGGAAGAAAGAUAGACUCUCUUUCUGGAUCCAGGACAUCUGUCUUCUUGUGGAUGCUUGUUUCUCUGGCCUUAGGCUCUAGGAUGUAUGCAAUGCUCUAUCUCAGUCAAAACCAGAGUGGCUUCCUUUCUCAGUGAUUACUAUGACAGGGUUUCUCUGUGUUUAUCCAUGGCUGUCCUGUAACUCACUCUUCAGAUGAGUUGACCUUGAACUCACAGAUAUCUGCUUGCCUUUUCCGCCUGAGUGCUGGGGAUAAAGGCAUGUGCCAUCACACCCAGUCAAAGUAAUCAAUGGUGAAAUGUGCCAGGGGGAAAAUAACACCAUACAGUGUCACCAACAUUUCGAAUUUUCCUAUUGGAGCUCUCAUGAGACCUGAUAUCUUGACUGCAGUUCUGAAGGAGACAUUUCAGAAAUCCGAGCAUGUAGACACAGUUCUGAAAACGAUGCUUCCUGGGCUCCCAUGGAUGUCUUCGUGAAUGAUUCCACUUUACACACUUGAUGGCCUAAUCCGAGGACCUGUCUGCUUCCCAAAGGGUGGGAAAUCUGCAAAGGCCCGUACACCUCUCUCUACUGUGAGAAGACCACAAAGCACUUGGUUCUCUCAUGUAAUCCUUCACCCUGCAUGCCUGUCCAGAAUCGUCCCCUGUUUUGGACAGAACGACAUGACUAACUUGACUGCUACAACUGAUUUUCAGAACUGAAAUAGAAACAUAUGCUAUAAACCUCACUGUCUGGGGAUCUAUGAAUAUAACAUCGGUAUGUCAACGUGGCCAUCUUCCAGGACUGUAAAAGAAUGGGAUAAAUGUUGUUGGGCCAUAGUUUAUCAGAACAUUUGAGAGGAUUAUAUCAACAUUUUAUGUUUUCACUGGGAGCAAGGCAAUCUCUUCAGUGCUGGCAUUUAGAAUGCGGAUUCAGAAGUCUCCGAGAGUUGCCAGAAAAAGUCCAAUCUCAGAGGGAGACCCAGAUGAUAGGGCACUAAUCAGAAAUGCAUCAUUCCCGCCAGAUGGUCUGGAUCUCGCCGCGAUACACAGCCUGAAGAAUCGCGAGAGCUGUGAGGCGCAAACUGACAUUUCCAUUCUAGGUUCGACCAUGGAUGGAACCUGAACAUAACAAAAGUCUCCUAGUCUAUUGAGUUAAUCCAGACCCAGGUUGAUGGGGACACCGUCUCCACACAGGAAUCUUUUCAAAUUCUGCACCCUAGAGUAGCUCCUGAAAGUUCUGAUAUUUACCUGUGGCUGACUCGAGUUGGUUACAUAACCAUGCCCAUGCUGAAGGCAUGGAAGAAGUCCAACCUACCGUGUGCCCAGAAGGAUUAACAGGAUUCUUAUUGGCCUUUGUCCAGACAGAAUGGAGGCAAAGGUGAUGGAUCUAGAGUUGGGCAAGUAGAGAUGAUGGUGGAGGUGGGAAAACACGAUGAUCCUAAGCUUUGUGGUUUUCAAAGAAGUUCAUCAGUGGGGGGAGGAGAAAAUGGAGCAGAAGAGAAGUGUUGGCCAGACUUUCCCAGGAUUCCCAGCAUUGAUUUUUCAGACUCUACAAUCCCACCAGCAAUCAUGAAUGGGGCCAAAGGAAACAAGAGGUAACAGUGAAACUGCCUAAUGGCAAGCUUCCACGAAUAUCUGGGAGAUCCUAUGCUAUACAGCUAAGAUAAGGAUGGCAGAUGCAGAGAUGGUCCAUGUUCCACAAUGCUUCAAAAUGGCACAGAACCAACAAGGAAUCCUGAAACUUUAAGAGUCGGCACCUCCUUCCAUGUCUCCCCAACUACAAUCAAGUUCUCAAAUUCUCAGUUGAUUUUCCUUCACAAAAGACACCUUCAAUGUCUGAGAAACACAACAGAUGGUUACACAUUUGAAUGAAUUAUGUCAGGAAUGGGAUGGCCCAGUCAUAUUGCUGAGAUAUCAGGGGUAGAAAGAGAGUGACCUCAGGAAAAGCUAGUGCAAAGACUGAGGUUAUCAGAAUCAUGUAUUGCUUGAGUGUUGUUUGACUAGAAUCCACAUGAGUGACCUACAGUUCCUAGGGACAGCUUGUUGGUCCUGAAAUCCAAGUGAGGAUUAUUAAUCUAUUCUAUACUAUAUGUUCAUAUAUAUAUGAAUUCUAUACUACCAUUUUUGCAUACUUAUAAAGAAAUAUCCUAUAUAGUGGGAGGGUCAAACCUUCAUUACCUUACCCUUUAUAAAAACAUUAAACAAGUGCUUCAAACCAGGCUGGUGAUGGGGAUAGAUAAGGUUUUGAAUGAAAAUCGGUGCACAAAAGUUCCUCUAGUUGUAUAUCAAUAUUGAAAAGAGAAUGUUGAAGGUUGAAAAUAUUAGACUAGCCAGUAAAUAUUAAGUCUAGGGAUAGGAAGAGAUUGAAGCUGACUUAAGACUGAAUAAGACAAGAAGAUGUGAAAAAGUAAAGUAACUACCAGACUCUGAGGGACACAUUGGCAACAUUUUAUAAAACCCCAAAGAUGUAAAAAUAAGAAACAUGAAUAUUCUGAAACCAAUAAAGUACUUUUAGGAAUUUAUCCUUCACACAUGGUGACUUUCAUAAAAGUUGUUUAUGGAAGACCAUUUGGCAAAAUUGCUUGUACUGUCAAAUAUUGAACGGAAGUUGGAUGUCUACCACAACAGAAUCUAUUAAUAAAAUAUGCAAAUCCACCUAAUUUAACAUUAUAUAACCAUUAAAAGUAUCCUGGGACAUAGUCAUGAUCUCAGAUAUAUUAUUUAGAGAAGCAACAGGAGGGUGGGACAGACAUGUAUAAUAAAAUACAUUUCUAAAAAUACACAGAACAGCAAAACUCAUACUUCAUAGAAAUCAGAAAAGUUUAACUUUUAAAUCACUUGUGUGCAAUGGAAGUACUGUUUGUUUUUCGUGAAUAAGGAAGAAAUUAACACUGGGGUGAAAACGAUAAAAAUUGAAAUCAGAGAAGACAGAAAUUUAAUGUAAAAACAUUCUAGGGUUAGAAAGAAGCAAGAAAUGGUAAAUAUUCUGAAUAAUGAAAGAGUGUUUUCUGAGUUAAAAUUUCCAGACUCGAGAAUUCCGUGGAUGGUAAGUAACAUUACAAAUGGAAUGGCAUUCAUGCUUUCAAUUGUAGAAACAAUGAAAUUUAUCUUAUAAAGUCAGAAGUUCCUACUUCAAAUGAGAGCUUGUCAUCUCAAAUACCACUCCUGGAACAUUAGAUGAACAUGAUUUCAGUGUCAGGACAUAAAAUAUCUAUAGUGCUUUUAAAAUUAUAUCUUACCCAAAUUACUCUUCUAGUGAACAUAUAUAUAUAUAUAUGUAUGUAUAAAAGACCAGAUAAUCUCAGGAAUACAUGUAACAAAAUUGACAGAAUCAUUACAAAAAUCAGUACGGUAUUAAAAAGAAAACUGAAGUAGUGUUUCAUACAAAUUGAAUUUUAUGGCCCCAAACUACAAAAUUCUUGAUACUGAUGCUCAUGAGCACAGAAUGAAGGGUGCAGCUGCUGAUAUGUGUUGAUAUGCUAUGUGCUGCUAUGCUAUGCUAUGCUAUGCUAUGCUAUGCUAUGCUAUGCUAGAUAUGAUAUGAUAUGAUAUGAUAUGAUAUGAUAUGAUAUGAUAUGAUAUGAUAUGUGGAAACAAAUUCAGGCAUAUUGGUACAAACUGAGAAAAUUUAUCCGCACCAUCAACUUUCUUGGAUGAGGCAAUAAAUAAAGAUAAAAUAAAAUCCAUAAAUUAGA